rnacentral:rRNA from 1 species
GACGAACGCUGGCGGCGUGCUUAACACAUGCAAGUCGAACGAAGUGGCGAACGGGUGAGUAACGCGUAAUUAACCUGCCCUUCAGCGGGGGACAACAGUUGGAAACGACUGCUAAUACCGCAUACUGAAGGAGGGGAUUGCGUCUGAUUAGCUAGUUGGAGGGGUAACGGCACACCAAGGCGAUGAUCAGUAGCCGGUCUGAGAGGAUGACCGGCCAAAUUGGGACUGAGAUACGGCCCAGACUCCUACGGGAGGCAGCAGUGGGGGAUAUUGCACAAUGGGCGAAAGCCUGAUGCAGCGACGCCGCGUGAGUGAUGACGGCCUUCGGGUUGUAAAGCUCUGUUAAUCGGGACGCGGUACCGGAAUAGAAAGCCACGGCUAACUACGUGCCAGCAGCCGCGGUAAUUC